ACCUGGCUGGCUCAGUUGGUAGAGUGUGCAACUAUCGAUCAUGAGGUUGUGGGUUCGAGCCCCACACUGGGUA